rnacentral:rRNA from 1 species
UACAGAGGGUGCUAGCGUUGCUCGGAAUCACUGGGCGUAAAGCGCACGUAGGCGGCUUUCUAAGUCAGGGGUGAAAUCCUGGAGCUCAACUCCAGAACUGCCUUUGAUACUGGAAAGCUUGAGUUCGGGAGAGGUGAGUGGAACUGCGAGUGUAGAGGUGAAAUUCGUAGAUAUUCGCAAGAACACCAGUGGCGAAGGCGGCUCACUGGCCCGAUACUGACGCUGAGGUGCGAAAGCGUGGGGAGCAAACAGG